CAGAACCAGGUCUUGAAGUGAAGGAGACAAAGAGGAGUGAGAGCCAGAGUCCUGGACACCACAGAUGCCAACCUCUCACUGUCUGACGCCCAGAGGUGAAACAGGUGGCCAGCUCCCACUCACAGCAGCUCGCCCUUUAGUCUAGCCCUGUCUCCAUCCAUCCUUUCUCUCUUCUCCCAAUUCUUCCCUAGCCCUGCUCCACCCCCACCUUCAACCCUCCAGCCUCCCCCCCCACAUACUUUAAGAAGUAAAAGCCUCAACACAGAUGGCUCGUCCUGACCCCCUCCCUGCCCUGACCCCACGGAAGAGACAGACCCCACUCUUCAUCUCCCUGAGCAUCUGCAGGGGCGACUUCCCAAUGCAGAAGACUCAUCUGAUCCUGGAAAAGAAUCGGCACUGCCUACAAAUCACCUUCCCCACGGAGGCAGGAUGGAAAGAUGAUGGAAAAUUCCAGGGGCAUGGAAGGGCAAGGGGCCCUCUACUCUGGAGUCUGCUUGGAGCCCCUCAACAGCACAAUUCACAAUGGUUGCCUGCACACAAAGAAUAUUUAUGUAGAAAACCUGGUAAAUAAGAAUGCUAAAAUAUGAAUAAACCCAGCUCAAGGCCUUAGUGGAGGUAACCACCUGAGGAAGAGCCUCACGCCUUGCAAACAAGCCUAUUAAUGUGUCGAUAGUGGAGGAGCUCUAUCUUCCUGCGCCCCAAUGAUCCAGAGUUCACCUUCUUACAGCCCCGUCAGGUGCCAGCACCUCAGGAACCAAUCUGCGAUUCCUAACCAGAAAUAACUGAAAUUCCACGUAUAGCUGUUGUAAAGACAGUGACCCGUGCCUCCUUCCAGAAGCCCACACCUAGGUGGAGGGUGAAUUCUCACCGCAACUCCUGAUGUCUCCAGAGGCCCUCACAGCCUUUAACACAAACUACCUGCUGCUUGAAGCCAGUGUUGUCAAGAGAAACACUAUCCUCCCUGUAGGUAAGAAAGACCAUAGACUUCAAAUUAGGCGACAUCUCAAAAAAGGGAGGCUGGGAUAGAGCAGCUGCUUAGCAUGG